rfam:Triticum urartu cultivar G1812 contig652041, whole genome shotgun sequence.
GUAGUACUUCCUCCGUUCCAAAUUAGUCGUCGCAGAAAUGGGUGUAUCUAGAAUUAAAAUACAUCUAGAUACAUCCAUAUAUGCGACAAGUAAUUCGGAACGGGGAGGGAGUAGAAC